UACGGGGGGGGCAAGCGUUGUUCGGAAUUACUGGGCGUAAAGGGCUUGUAGGUGGCCAACUAAGUCAGACGUGAAAUCCCUCGGCUUAACCGGGGAACUGCGUCUGAUACUGGAUGGCUUGAGUUUGGGAGAGGGACGCGGAAUUCCAGGUGUAGCGGUGAAAUGCGUAGAUAUCUGGAGGAACACCGGUGGCGAAGGCGGCGUCCUGGACCAACACUGACACUGAAGAGCGAAAGCCAGGGGAGCAAACGGG
rnacentral:rRNA from 1 species